UGGGGAAUAUUGGACAAUGGGCGAAAGCCUGAUCCAGCCAUGCCGCGUGUGUGAAGAAGGCCUUAUGGUUGUAAAGCACUUUAAGUGGGGAGGAAAAGCUUAUGGAUAACACCCAUAGGUUCUGACGUUACCCACAGAAUAAGCACCGGCUAACUCUGUGCCAGCAGCCGCGGUAAUACAGUGGGUGCAAGCGUUAAUCGGAAUUACUGGGCGUAAAGCGAGCGUAGGUGGUUUAUUAAGUCAGAUGUGAAAUCCCUGGGCUUAACCUAGGAACUGCAUCUGAUACUGAUAAACUAGAGUAGGUGAGAGGAAAGUAGAAUUCCAGGUGUAGCGGUGAAAUGCGUAGAGAUCUGGAGGAAUACCGAUGGCGAAGGCAGCUUUCUGGCAUCACACUGACACUGAGGUUCGAAAGCGUGGGUAGCAAACAGGAUUAGAUACCCUGGUAGUCCACGCCGUAAACGAUGUCUACCAGUCGUUGGGUCUUUUAAAGGCUUAGUGACGCAGUUAACGCGAUAAGUAGACCGCCUGGGGAGUACGGCCGCAAGGUUA
rnacentral:rRNA from 1 species